GUUCUUCUUCUUCUUUUUUCUUUUCCAGGAAAACAAAUAGAGCUAGAAAGGAAAGUAUAGUUUUUUCUAUUUCAUAAUAUUCGUGUGGUUUUACUUAAAGCAAUUCUUGUUGUAGCUUAUGGUUACAAAUCGCUUGUUGAAUGUUACUUUCCCAUCUAUGGGAUAAAUUUUCACUCUGUUCCUCAAGAUGUCUGGGGAAGAGGAAGAAAACGUUGCAGAGCUGAAAAUUGGGGCGAUCUCUCUCUCUCUCCCCUCUGUGUAGAGAUUUCAAAGGCCAAGUGUUUAAUGAAUUGUGAAGUUACUUUGAUUUUCGUACACAAAUUUGAGUAGCUUCAACAAACGUCUGAAGACCCUGUAAAUCAUGCUUCUCAGCGAGUCUUUUACCACUUCCACAAUGUAUUUUGGGGCAUAGGUCGGGUCCAUGUAGAUUCAUUUGCGUAGUCGAUUUAUCUGUUCUUUCGAAUAUUGUGUUUUUAUUUAUUUGCAUAUUCUCAAAUUGUUGUUCGAGGCCAUUCCAAUGGGUUCUUGCUUCAGAAAAUUUCCCUGCGAGGACUCAAUUUCUCCCGGCCAAGAGGUGACUAUGGGGCAGUCUCAAGGUUUUACAUGUUUCUCCUCAUGUUUUAAUUCAGAGAACUGCCCUAAAUUCAAUUUGUCCACUUGUCUUUUAUUUUUUACCAUUAGCCAGAUAUUAAUUUGAAAAUCAAGUUUUUGCUUCGAUUUUUUCCCACAUUUCCUAGUGUAUUUAUUAGGAAAUUUGGAAGGCCUGCCACCAUGUGUCUUGGUGUAUGGAGUCAGGUCUAUGGCUGACCUCUGACAUAGUCUUCCUAUGGUUGUUUGCUAUUACCCUUGCGUACAUCCAUACAUACAUACACACACAUAUAUACAUACAUACAUAUAUAUAUACACACCAAUUAACUGACUUCAGGUUGUUCAAUUUUGAUAAUGUCUCUUGUUGAAUCACCUAAUAAAUGUUGGUGAAAUAUGUGGGAAAAAAGUAAGUACGUACGUACAUACAUACAUACAUACAUAAGUGUGUGUGUGUGAAUAUCUUUUUACCUAUAAAAAAAUAUUUUUUGUGUUUGUGAAUUACCGUGAAAAUGCGAUAUGUUUUUGAGAUAUUACCCUUCUUUAUCUCUUUGGAACUGUUGUUUAUCUAGCUCUGAUCUUUGCUUGAUGUUAUUUGUAGAUGUGUUAGCAUUUAGAUAUUUAUUUAGCUUUAUCUCAAUAUAUUGACUGAUUUUUUUGAGUGGUGUGAAAUGUAUAAUUCCCUAUGACUUAUCUUAUGUGUCCAGCAUUCGACCACUUUAAGGACUUCAUGACCAUUAUAUUGUGAAUGCUAAGGCUUUUUCCUAUGUAGAUGUUCUUUAGCUUUAUCUCCAUAUAUCCACUAUGAUUGUUUUAAUUAUCAAAGUAUCAACAGGGCAUCAAAAUUAGAUGUUCAAGUAAUAGACAUGCUUCAUCUAUCCUAUGAUGUAUUUGAUUCUGCAAUGGUAGGCUUGCUCUGGUUGGGUUGGAUUAUAAUGGAGUUUCAAAGUUGAAUAUCUCUUUUAUUUUGCUAUUACACCUUAUUCUACUAAUAUUGUUUCAGAAUUGGAUAUCACAUGCCUCUAUAAAGUGCUAAAUUAGAGCAUCAUGGGCAGAUAUUGCAGUGUGUAUUGGUUACUUGGUAACACAUGAAACUUGUUCUUCAAUUUCUGCUCUACCAUGCAUCGUGAAUGUGAAUCUUCACUGACAUUCAGAAUCCUCAGUAGAUAUCAAUUGGCCGAGUUCAAGCUUUGUUUUCUUGGCCAACCUUUGCCCCGAAACAGUGGAGAAAGCUAUUGCAAUGGUGCCAUCUAUUAAGCAAGAAGUCUGUUCUGCACUCCUCUAUGCUCUCAUAUCCAGAGGGAGAGGGAGAGGGAGGGAGGAAGUAAAAACUCAUCAAAAUUCUCAUGUUUUGCUCGUUCUUUCGAAACAAACUGUAGAAGCUUUGUUCAAUUGAGCUCUCAUGCUUGACUACACUAGGGUGAACACCUUUAAUAGAGGGUCUUGCAUGUCAUUGGCUGUUUCCAGCCCUAAAUGCCUUGGAGAAAUCCUGUCUUGAAGAGCAA